rnacentral:rRNA from 1 species
CUGAGAGACCGAUAGUGAACUAGUACCGUGAGGGAAAGGUGAAAAGAACCCUGAACAAGGGAGUGAAAUAGUACCUGAAACCGUGCGCUUACAAGCGGUCGGAGUCCCGCCGAUUUAUCGGCAUAUGGGAUGACGGCGUGCCUUUUGCAUAAUGAGCCUACGAGUUACUCCUCACUAGCAAGGUUAAGUCCUUCAGGGACGCAGCCGAAGCGAAAGCGAGUCUGAAUAGGGCGUAUAGUUAGUGGGGGUAGACGCGAAACUUGGUGAUCUACCCAUGGCCAGGUUGAAGUACCGGUAAAACGGUAUGGAGGACCGAACCAGUACACGUUGAAAAGUGUUUGGAUGAGCUGUGGGUAGGGGUGAAAGGCCAAUCAAACCAAGAAAUAGCUCGUACUCCCCGAAAUGCAUUUAGGUGCAGCCUCGUGGUUUAGUGUUGUAGAGGUAGAGCUACUGAUAAGGCUAGAGGGCUUCACCGCCUAUCAACCCUUGACAAACUCCGAAUGCUACAACAUAUACACGGGAGUGAGGCGUUGGGUGCUAAGGUCCGGCGCCAAAAGGGAAACAACCCAGACCAUCAGCUAAGGUCCCUAAAUAUAUGCUAAGUUGUGUUAACGUAGUGCGACUGCUUAGACAGCUAGGAUGUUGGCUUGGAAGCAGCCAUUCAUUUAAAGAGUGCGUAACAGCUCACUAGUCGAGCGGUUGUGCGAUGAUAAUCGGGCAUAAGCAUAUUACCGAAGCUAUGGAUUUCUAACAUUAGUUAGAAGUGGUAGGGGAGCAUUCCAGUUGCUUUGAAGAUGGAUCGUAAGGUCUGUUGGAGCGGCUGGAAAAGAAAAUGUAGGCAUAAGUAACGAUAAAGCGGGUGAGAAACCCGCUCACCGAUAGACUAAGGUUUCCUGAUCAACGCUAAUCGGAUCAGGGUUAGUCGGGUCCUAAGACGUAUCCGAACGGAAAAGUCGAUGGAUAACAGGUUAAUAUUCCUGUACUAGCAAAUACUGCGAUGGGGUGACGAAGGAGUGAAAGUCCCGCGUACUGACGGAAUAGUACGUUGAAGGGUGUAGGUAUACAGAUAGGUUAAUAGCUUGACUGUGCUGAACCUGAUAGUACCGUGAGUCUUCGGACAAGCGGAUAGUGGACCUAAGCAUACUUCCAAGAAAAACCUCUAAGCUUCAGGUAAUUGCUACCCGUACCGCAAACCGACACAGGUAGUCAAGGAGAGAAUCCUAAGGUGCUCGAGUGAUUCAUGGCUAAGGAACUAGGCAAAAUCGACCUGUAACUUCGGGAGAAAGGUCGCCCCGAGUAAUCGGGGCCGCAGUGAAAUGGCCCAGGCGACUGUUUAUCAAAAACACAAGGCUUUGCUAAAUCGAAAGAUGAUGUAUAAGGCCUGACACCUGCCCGGUGCUGGAAGGUUAAGAGGGGGGGUUAUUCCUUCGGGAAGAAGCUCUGAAUCGAAGCCCCAGUAAACGGCGGCCGUAACUAUAACGGUCCUAAGGUAGCGAAAUUCCUUGUCGGGUAAGUUCCGACCUGCACGAA